GGGGUUUAUAGUCUGAUGGUGUUUGGUGUUGUUGUCCACUGCCCUUUUCCUCUUGCACUACUGGACAUUGAGAUGAGCAGUGCAAUAUUAAAAGGGCAUUGGCUGAUGGAACAGAGACACACCUGAAACGCCUCC
rnacentral:miRNA from 1 species